rnacentral:lncRNA from 1 species
UUGAGUUCAAUUAAAUGUAUUUUGAUUUCUUUGGACAAGGAUUAAAUUCAUGGUUCAAAACCUCUUUGAACAAUGCGAACAAGAAUUAACAGCUGAAGAAAAUUGCUCACAGCUUUCCAACAACAUGGGCAACUGCAGUGACGAUGUUUCAUUUGCAACUUCCUUGAUGGUAUUUUCAUGAGGAUGGCUUUGAAGAGGGUGGUCGACUUGAUAAGGGGGUGACCUAAUGAACUUGAUGAUUAUGAGUUGAGAAUGGUCCCCUUGAUGAGCUUGAUGAUUGUAGGUAGGGUAAACGAGAGUGACCUGGGUUGACGAUCAUGAGUAGGAUAAAUGAGAGUGACCCGAAUUAAUGACCAUGGGUAGGGUAAAUGAUAAUGACCAUGUGUUAAUAAAACUAAAAAAAAAACCAUCCAUACCCCAUAUUACUCUUCCAUUUAGAAGGAGAUGAGACUUAGGCAUGUUGUGGCUUCUUGGAGGUGCCUUCUUGUUCAUCAUUUUCACUUGGGGACAUACUCCAUUGUAUACACUUAGCCACUCAAACAUGC